GGGCUAGCGUUAGUUUAGAUUACCGGAGGUAAAGCACUGAAUGGUUUAGGGGCUGAUAAAGUUACCGACGCCUAUCAAACUCUGAAUGCCGGAUAAUUGAUGACUAGCAGUCAGACAGUGUGAGAUAAGUUUCAUUGUCAAAAGGGAAACAGCCCAGACCUACAGCUAAGGUCCCAAAUGUAUGCUAAGUGGAAAACGAUGUGGAAUUGCGAAAACAACCAGGAUGUUGGCUUAGAAGCAGCCACACAUUAAAAGAGUGCGUAAUAGCUCACUGGUCGAGUGACUCUGCGCGGAAAAUGUAACGGGGCUAAGCGUAUAACCGAAGCUUAGGAUGCAGCAAUGCGUGGUAGGGGAGCGUCGAAUACGGGGUGAAGUCGCAGCGGAAGCAGCGGUGGACUGUAUUCGAGUGAGAAUGCCGGAAUGAGUAGCGAGAAUUAUGUGGGAAUCAUAAUGGCCGAAAAUCUAAGGUUUCUUGGGGAAGGUUCGUCCGCCCAAGGUAAGUCGGGAGCUAAGCUCAGGCCGAGAGGCGUAGGCGAUGCACAUACGGUAGAAAUUCCGUAACCACCGAAACUUAAACAGAGGGACACUUCGAAAUAGCGGAACCCGGGCGUUGGUUGACCCGGGCGAAAGGGAGCGAAAUUAGAGUAGCGAAGUCCGCGAUGUUCGGAGGCGAGAAAAGCUCUGAGGUAUGCUAAGGUGCCCGUACCGCAAACCGACACAGGUAGAUGAGGAGAGAAUCCUAAGGCCAACGGGAGAAGGGUUGUUAAGGAACUCGGCAAAUUGACCCCGUAACUUCGGAAGAAGGGGAGCCCCCUACGGGGGGUCGCAGAGAAAUGGCCCAAGCAACUGUUUACCAAAAACACAGGUCUAUGCUAAAUCGAAAGAUGACGUAUAUGGGCUGACGCCUGCCCGGUGCCGGAAGGUUAAGAGGAGAUGUCAGGCAACGAAGCAUUGAAUUUAAGCCCCGGUAAACGGCGGCCGUAACUAUAACGGUCCUAAGGUAGCGAAAUUCCUUGUCAGGUAAGUUCUGACCCGCACGAAUGGCGUAAUGAUUUGGGCACUGUCUCAACAGCCCGCCCGGCGAAAUUGUAGUACUGGUGAAGAUGCCAGUUACCCGCAACUAGACGGAAAGACCCCAUGGAGCUUUACUGCAGCUUAAUACUGAAAUUCGGUAGUACAUGUACAGGAUAGGUGGGAGACUGAGAAAUACAGGCGUCAGCUUGUAUGGAGUCGCUGUUGGGAUACCACUCUUGUACUGCUGGGUUUCUAACCUGCGGCCGUGAAUCCGGUCGGGGGACACUGUUAGGCGGGCAGUUUGACUGGGGCGGUCGCCUCCCAAAGAGUAACGGAGGCGCUCAAAGGUUGGCUCAGCACGGACGGAAAUCGUGCAAUGAGUGUAAACGUAUAAGCCAGCCUAACUGCGACACCGACGGGUCGAGCAGUAACGAAAGUUGGAGUUAGUGAUCCGGUGGUAUGUGAGUGGAAAUGCCAUCGCUCAACGGAUAAAAGCUACCCUGGGGAUAACAGGCUGAUCUCCCCCAAGCGUCCACAGCGACGGGGAGGUUUGGCACCUCGAUGUCGGCUCGUCGCAUCCUGGGGCUGAAUUCGGUCCCAAGGGUUUGGCUGUUCGCCAAUUAAAGCGGCACGCGAGCUGGGUUCAGAACGUCGUGAGACAGUUCGGUCCCUAUCUGUUGCGGGCGUAAGAGAUUUGAAGGGAGCUGUCCUUAGUACGAGAGGACCGGGAUGGACGUACCUCUGGUGCACCAGUUGUCCUGCCAAGGGCAUAGCUGGGUAGCUAUGUACGGACGAGAUAAACGCUGAAAGCAUCUAAGCGUGAAACUCCCCCUAAGAUGAGAUCUCUCAUCCUUUAAGGAGUAAGGACCCAGAAAGACGAUCUGGUUGAUAGGCCGAAGGUGGAAGCGCAGUAAUGUGUGCAGCUGAUCGGUACUAAUAGUCCGAGGGCUUGACCU
rnacentral:rRNA from 1 species